AUGUGAUCCACAGGCUGCACAUGCUGGUCACUCGACCAACAGGAAGAUGAAGGAACCCCUCCUGUCAAGCUCUCCGACUCCCUGAUGAUCAGUCCUCCUUCAGUUUCACCACCGCUGCUCCAUGACUUCAGAUCAUACCAAAUGCAGGAUUCUAAUCAGCAGUUUCGACCCCAUUCCCCAAAGUGAGCCUUGAAUAUCAGCAUUAAAUAGAGAACAAAGCUGGAGCUCAGGAUCGCUUGAGCUAAUUUUCUUACGUUGGUUGAUUCCCAGAAAUCUGGAGAAACAAAGCUUCCUUUCUUUCAAGAAUGAUCAACUGUUAGGUUAAAUGAUUUUACGCCCUUGAGAAAAUAUACGGCCGAUAUGGGUGGGGCAUUGAUUUACAGGCCAUUCCAUCUUCUUUAGUUAUCUAGAAUGCAGCUCCAACCCUGUCCUUGUCCGUUGGUGUCAUGGCUUUGCCCCUUUGUGAAUGAUGCCUCACGUGUCAAGUCUUUUUCUAAAAUAAAGUUGAAUAUGACUUGCAAAAUAUCGAAAUCCAUAUGAAAGGGGCUUUUUGUUUUCAUUUUACAUUAUUUUCCCAAUUACUGGAGUUUUCCUCUUCGGUCCUUGCAAGGGGCUUUACUUUUUGACUUGGCGACUAAGUUCAAAUAUCUGACUGUAACUUCUUCGUUUUUUCGAUGUUUUGGUGAUAAAAAAUAAAACAAAAUCACUUUGAGGAAAACUGUAAAGAAACUAACGGCAAUGCAUGGAACAAAGAGAAAGAAAAUUUAUUUUAAGUGUUAACGAGCUGCUCCGGUGAGAUAGGGGCACAGUAAAAUAUAAUGUUCCAUAUCAAAGUUACCAAGCUGGUUUUAUGCACUGUCCCAUGCAAAAAAAAAAAAAAUUGUGCACUCGAGAUAUAAUGUUCGGAAUACCCCUGAUCAGUAAAAAGUGGGAAACCUUUCUAAGGAGAAAAAUAGGUAGUAAAAAAGUUGAAUGUCCAACAAAAACUUCCUUUUUUUUUGAAAAAUCUCCAAAAGGCCCAACUUUUCCUUCUUUUGCUUUUGGGUGCAUAUCUGACACUCUCUGCAGUAACAGAAUCUUUCAUCUACUCAAAGUUACAUAUACAGAGUUUAGGUUCUGUGUGGAGCUAUAUAGUGAUGGGCCAGAAACACAUCUGCAAGAGUUUGUAUUUUUCCUUUCUUUUUACUGCCCGCCUCAUGUUGGGGUAUUUUACCUCUGAAGACUUUGUCAAGUUUUAAAAAUUUCAAGAUGUACUCAUAAUCGAAAUCGGUACAAGAAAGCAUGGGCAUCUAUAGUGUGAUUAAUAUUGAUGGAGAAGAUCCAAAACAGUGGCGUAUGAAUAUUAUGAUGCCGAUGUUUAUUGUC